GCACUGUAUGGAGCACCAAACAAACUAUGAAAGUAUAAGAAUAGAGUACAAUAGACAGGCUGUGGGCGAGAAGGUUCAUAGUCGAGAAGGAAACAACCUAGAUUAGAAGUUAAGGUCGUAGAGAUGCUCUAAGUGUAAUGGGGGUAAAAUAGGGAUAAAAACAAUGAGGAAGUAGGCUUUGAACCAGCCAUCUUUGAAAGAUAACGUAAUAGUUCACUCAAUAAAUUUAUAAACCUUUAAAUUAUGGCGGCUUAAGAAGUUAAAAAUUUUGUAACCGAAACUCUGAAUCUAUACGAAGGUGGUAGCAGAACGUACUGUAAUUAGUGCAAGAUGUUUGAAAUUGCGGAAGCGUUUAUCAGAAGUGACAAUGCGAACAUGAGUAAAAAACAGCGUGAAAAUCGUUGCUCAUGGCCCAAGGUUUCCAAUUUUAGGAUUUUACGAAUUGGGUUAAACCGUUCCUAAGAGUAGAUCGAUGGGUAAUAAAUAGUAAGUGUUUAAAUAAAUUAUUUACCUUAUAGACGGUAUUGCAAACUAACUCAAGUGGGCUAAAGAGUGAUGGUAUAAUUUAUCUUAAGGAACUCGGCAAAUUGUCCCUGUAAGUUCGCAAUAAAGGGAGCGGUGAAAGUAGAAGUGUAAGAACUUAAUUUGACUGGCCUUAGAGAAGAGGGGGUGUCGACUGUUUACCAAAAACAUAGCUUUCAACAAAGGACGUUUGGUUUGAAGUGUUGAAGGUGAGGCCUGCCCAAUGAUUGUAUUUAAAAUCGAGUAAUAAAAUAAGUUACUCGACUAAGAACAAUUAAAUGGCCGCGGUAACUCUGACCGCGAUAAAGUAGCGCAAUCAAUAGCCAAUUAAUUGUUGGCAAGUAUGAAUGGCUUAACGAGUGCCCCACUGUCUCAAGAUAAAUACCAAUGAAAUUGAAUUCGUAGUGAAGAUGCUACGUGCAAAUUGUUAGACAAGAAGACCCCGUUGAGCUUUACUGUAAACUUAUAUUGUUUUUUCAAUUAAUGGUAUCUGUGGGUAGGCGUAUUACUCAAAUUUUUGGUAAGAACUAAUUAUAGGUGUAAGUUAGACAGUUUGAUUGGGGCGAUUGCCUUUUAAGGAGUAACGAAGGCGCACAUAAGGUGAAUAUUGUAAAAGAAAAGCUUGACAGCAAGAGUAAUUCUCGAGCUGACACGGUUGAUGAGUUGUAAUUAAACCGUGGGUUAUAGUGACCCGUUUGUUUAGAGUGGUAAAACUAACGAUCGAUAAAUAAAAGUUACCACGGGGAUAACAGCGUAAUCUCGUUUGAGAGUUCUUAUCGAUGACGAUGUUUGCGACCUCGAUGUUGAAUUGCGGUUUCCUGGAGGUGCAGCCGCUUCCAAGGGUUGGACUGUUCGUCCAUUAAAACCGUACAUGAUUUGAGUUCAGACCGGCGUGAGCCAGGUCGGUUUAUAUCUACAAUUUGUUUAGGAAACAUUAGAAACAACUACAUUUUAGUACGAAAGGAUUGAGUGCUUAGUUAUCCGCUGGUGGACCAAUUGUAUUGCUGU
rnacentral:rRNA from 1 species